rnacentral:misc_RNA from 1 species
GAAAUGCGAUAAGUAAUGUGAAUUGCAGAAUUCAGUGAAUCAUCGAAUCUUUGAACGCACCUUGCACCCUUUGGUAUUCCGAAGGGUAUGCCCGUUUGAGUGUCAUUGUAAUCUCACACCCUCACCCUUUGGGCGGAGGGAGGUGGACUUGGACGUCCUGCGGUGCGAAAGCUUCCGCUCGUCUCAAAAGCUUUGGCUCGUGACCUUGGUAUUGGCGAUGAAGCCUGGUGUGAUAAGUGUCUUCACCGGGUGCCUCUCUGGGUUUGCGGCUUCACAACCGUCCGACUCGGACAGACAAUUUUGUCUCUUGACGACUUGACCUCAAAUCGGGUAGGACUACCCGCUGAACUUAA